GUAUCAUCGAGAAGGAGAGUAGAGCUAUAGACUGGUAUCAUCAGGAGAGUAGAGACUAUAGACUGGUAUCAUCAGGAGGUAGAGACUAUAGACUGGUAUCAUCAGGUUAAGACAAUAAACGGUAUCAUCAGGAGGAAGAGACUAUAGACUGGUAUCAUCAGGAGAGUAGAAGACAAUAGACUGGUAUCAUCAGGAGGGUAGACUAUAGACUGGUAUCAUCAGGAGAGGAGGUAGAGACUAUAAACGGGUAUCAUCAGGAGGGUAGAGACUAUAGACGGGUAUCAUCAGGAGGUAAGACUAUAGACGGGUACAUCAGGACGGUAGAGACAAUAGACUGGUAUCAUCAGGAGGGUAGAGACACAUAGACUGGUACCAUCAGGAGAGAGGAGAGUAGAGACUAUAGACUGGUAUCAUCAGGAGAGUAGAGACUAUAGACUGGGUAUCUCAGGAGGGUAGAGACUAUAGACUGGUAUCAUCAGGAGGGUAGACUAAUCGACUUGGACA
rnacentral:lncRNA from 1 species